GUAUAUCCUUUCAUAAUCAACACAUGCAAGACCCUCAGCACUGCAAUCGCUUUCCUGACUGGAGGCACCGUGCGAAUCAAUUGCGCUGAGCUGGACUUCGACAGGACGGUCGUCUGUGGUGAUCCCAUCUUCAUAAGCGUCCAGGCUACCACACCAUUUGCAGAGUGCUUGGGCAAGAACGGGCUCACGUGUGAUAACCAAGAUCCAGUUUAUGAGCCCCUUGCUCUUGGAUCGUUGAGAGUUCUUGCGUGCCUCAUCUAUUACGUUAUCACUACAUCUCCGGCUGAAGUAGCCGGACAGUUCGGAUGCGACUUCAUUACAAUUAUUUCCAGCAUAUUCGGCAGCCCUGUCUCCAAGGCUCUCACGCCCCUUCUAUGCACAGUUCAAAAUGCGCUAAUGCUCGAUUGCGCUGGCAUCACGUGCUAGAACGUUCUUGGUGGAUUACAGGCUAACAACGCAGCGCUUGUGCUACUUCUAUGAGAGCGCAUUUAUGAUGAAAACCGCCAUGAAAUAAACCGAGAGCAUGAAGUCUAAGUCUGCAUGCGCGUUCACUUCGUUCUAAACGUUUUUACUUUUAUACAUAAAAAUGUAUGCACAUUUCUUGAAAAACAUGUUGAGCACUCUUUGCAAUUGCCGCUGUAAACCUUCAAUAUCGUGGUUUAUGAGCACAUAUUCAGUAUUAUAACUAUAUAUUUAGAGUAAGUAUUAUAACUAAAAACUACUUCGUUAAAACUUUUGACGAAUAUUUUGUCCCCAAUGAGACAUUGUAUUCUAUAGACGUAAUGAAAGUGUUU